rnacentral:lncRNA from 1 species
GUAGGGCUACAAAGGGAGAAGGUUUUGAGGACUUUUUGGAGGCUUUUGGAUGUGAGAUUUUUAUGGUUUAUAGGGGACUAAUAGAAGUUUAGGAUGGCAGAGUUUGAGGAAAAAAGAUUGGUCCUAUGGCCGGCAAAAAAAUUUGGGAAGACAAGGUUGGUGUGAAGAAGAGCCGUGGCAUGAAACCUAAGGCUAUGGGGAGUAGAGGGAGAUGA